UCUAAUGAGGUAGAUUCAAAGGACAGAGAAUGUAAUAUGUAAAUUUGAGAAUUUAGAAUUGUGAAUAAUCUGGCACAAACACUCAACUAAACAACAAAGUGUGAUAACAUUAGCCGUGAGUAUAAUUACACAGAAUAGAAGCAAGCAAUAUAACUAACAAGUUACAAACUACCACAGGAUAUUGCAAGAGGCUUCUUAGAACUAUUCCCAAUACUAGUAAAUGUAACUGAUAGAAUUAGCCGCAAGUAUAAUGACAUAAAAUAGA
rnacentral:misc_RNA from 1 species